GAUGAACGCUGGCGGCGUGCCUAAUACAUGCAAGUCGAACGCUGAAGGAAGGAGCUUGCUCUUUCCGGAUGAGUUGCGAACGGGUGAGUAACGCGUAGGUAACCUGCCUGGUAGCGGGGGAUAACUAUUGGAAACGAUAGCUAAUACCGCAUAACAGUAGAUGUUGCAUGAUAUCUACUUAAAAGGUGCAAUUGCACCACUACCAGAUGGACCUGCGUUGUAUUAGCUAGUUGGUGAGGUAACGGCUCACCAAGGCGACGAUACAUAGCCGACCUGAGAGGGUGGUCGGCCACACUGGGACUGAGACACGGCCCAGACUCCUACGGGAGGCAGCAGUAGGGAAUCUUCGGCAAUGGACGGAAGUCUGACCGAGCAACGCCGCGUGAGUGAAGAAGGUUUUCGGAUCGUAAAGCUCUGUUGUAAGAGAAGAACGAGUGUGAGAGUGGAAAGUUCACACUGUGACGGUAUCUUACCAGAAAGGGACGGCUAACUACGUG
rnacentral:rRNA from 1 species